GAUGAGGUUGUGAGGUUGGGAAUUAGUGUUGAAAUUUGCGUGUAAAAUUUUUUUAGAACAAUUCAUGCAGAUGAUUGUGGCUUUUCUGGUGAUUGGGCCUUCAGUAAGGUACAGUCACACACUCGUCACACACCACCCACUGGUUGCCUGCCCCAAUGCUGUUCAUGUCUCUCUCCAUUCUGGAAUUCCAUUAAAAUAGGAGUCUCGCGCCUUUCCUCAUUAUGACCCUCCAUGAACUUGACCUCCGAUUCCCAGCGUUCCGGGUUCGACUCCUUGGCAAGAAGAAGUCUGAGUGGAGCAAUGCAGUUCAACUGUGGGCAUGCAUCCAU